rnacentral:rRNA from 1 species
CGCUGCAGGAGAGCUUUGCGUCCCAUUAGUUAGUUGGUGAGGUAACGGCUCACCAAGACCGCGAUGGGUAGCCGGCCUGAGAGGGUGAACGGCCACAAGGGGACUGAGACACGGCCCUAACUCCUACGGGAGGCAGCAGUGAGGAAUAUUGGUCAAUGGACGAGAGUCUGAACCAGCCAAGUAGCGUGAAGGAUGACUGCCUAUGGGUUGUAAACUUCUUUUAUACGGGAAUAAGUGAGGCACGUGUGCCUUUUUGUAUGUACCGUAUGAAUAAGGAUCGGCUAACUCCGUGCCAGCAGCCGCGGUAAUACGGAGGAUCCGAGCGUUAUCCGGAUUUAUUGGGUUUAAAGGGAGCGUAGGCGGACGCUUAAGUCAGUUGUGAAAGUUUGCGGCUCAACCGUAAAAUUGCAGUUGAUACUGGGUGUCUUGAGUACAGUAGAGGCAGGCGGAAUUCGUGGUGUAGCGGUGAAAUGCUUAGAUAUCACGAAGAACUCCGAUUGCGAAGGCAGCCUGCUGGACUGUAACUGACGCUGAUGCUCGAAAGUGUGGG